CUGCUCUUGAGAACAACGUGAAGCCAUUCUUCUUGUGCCUUGGAAUCAGCACUUGUAGCUGUUAGCACUUCUUGGCCUGUGACUCCAACACUGGAAGAGUGCUGGACACAGCAGAUGUCUUGAGAAGAUCUGGUGUAGGAAUGAGAAGCCUGUUCUGCUCCAUUUCCAUGGAAAUCUCCCUGAAGAUGAAGCUAAUUUGGAUGAGUCAGGGUCGUCUUUCUGUCCCUCAACUUCUUCAUCUUUAAAAGAUAGUUGUCAUACAAAAGAAAAUGUUCUCUUCACAUCUAAGGCUGCAUAAAUUCAGAAGGAACAGUGUGUCCUGUCCCAAAAAGGCUGCAGACCAGUGAGUUCUAGUCUUUCCUAUCUAACUGAAGGAAGCAGUGGCUGCAGUGUGUGCUGAGUCAUUAACACACUCCUCAACACAUCAGCUGAAAAGUCAAGGGAUAGGAACUGACAGAGCAACUGCAAAUGGAAAGUUAAAUGCAAUCCACUCUCUAGAAGCUGUUUUUAAUUUUGACCAUCCUGUGACAUGCUCCGGUAAUGAAAACUAUACCUCGAUUUAAAGGUCCUUUGUGUAAUUUAUAGAUCCUAUUUUCUUCCCUCGUAAAUUCCCCCCCCUACUUUCUGGGGAGGCAAAGUGUACAUGAGCCACUCCCCCGGGAGACGUCCAUGCUG